rnacentral:rRNA from 1 species
CCUACGGGUGGCAGCAGUGAGGAAUAUUGGUCAAUGGCCGGAAGGCUGAACCAGCCAUGCCGCGUGAAGGUCAGUGCCCUAUGGGCGUUAAACUUCUUUUGUGCGGGAGCAAUAAUGGUCACGUGUGGCCAGACGAGAGUACCGUACGACUAAGCAUCGGCUAACUCCGUGCCAGCAGCCGCGGUAAUACGGGGGAUGCAAGCGUUAUCCGGAUUUAUUGGGUUUAAAGGGUGCGUAGGCUGUGAGGUAAGUCAGCGGUGAAAUGCCCCCGCUCAACGGGGUGAAGUGCCAUUGAUACUGCCUUGCUGGAAUGCGGAUGCCGUGGGAGGAAUGUGUGGUGUAGCAGUGAAAUGCAUAGAUAUCACACAGAACACCGAUUGCGAAGGCAGCUCACGAAUACGCGAUUGACGCUGAUGCACGAAAGCGUGGGUAUCAAACAGGAUUAGAUACCCCAGUAGUC